CACUCUCCCUCUCUCGUUGAGCUCCAGCAAAAGGCUUGAACCAAUCAUCAUCUCGUUUAGCUCAGACAGAGGGCUCUGUUCUUCACCACGAGCAACCACUGGCGCCAUACACACUUUUAAUUCUCUUAGAGCCGCUGCAAUUCCUCUUAGAACCUCUGCAAAUCUGCAAAGACACAAACCCUGCAACUCUAGCCGUAGAUCGUGCAAUGAUUGCAGUUGGAACAACAAUUGGAGUAUGAGUGUGUAUUCUCGUCCCAAUUUCUCUUCUAUGCAAGUCAUCAUAUAUACAAUAGAUUUAGUUUUCUUCUCAGGUUCACUCCGUGUAAAGAAUCAGUACACAAAGGUAUCUGUUUAUGUCUCUUCCGUCUUGCAUUCGGAAAUACUCUUAUCCUGUGUUUUUUUAAAACAUUUUAUUUCUUUGUCUCAAGACCUACCUUUAUGGUUAUCUGUUGAAAAGCCAUCUACCUCUGAAAUUGAAUUAGAUGAAGAUGGUGUUUGGAACAUUGCUGAGGAAAAGGAUAAGAGCUUCAUUGCUAACUGUUUAUGCUUUUGAUAUCUCAUUAUUCAUAAGGUUGACAUUUUGUUUGGCAUAUAUGUUUUGUCACACAAACACAAAUCACCACCAAAUAAUUGUCCAUUGUACAGAUCCACGCACGUCUAUCUAUCCAUAUGUAUAUUUUAUCCAUAUGCAUAUGUUCAUGCA